ensembl:snRNA U1 U1 spliceosomal RNA
ACACUUACCUGGCAAAGGGAAACAGGCGGUUGGGUUUUCCCAUCCACUUCUUGCACCUUGGGCAUGCUGACCCCACUGAUUUACCAACACAUGGGAAACUGGAUGGUGUAAUUUGAGGUAGUGGGGCCUAUGUUCAUGUUGUCUCCUG